AACGAACGCUGGCGGCAUGCCUAACACAUGCAAGUCGAACGAGACCUUCGGGUCUAGUGGCGCACGGGUGCGUAACGCGUGGGAACCUGCCUUUAGGUUCGGAAUAACUCAGAGAAAUUUGAGCUAAUACCGGAUAAUGUCUUCGGACCAAAGAUUUAUCGCCUUUAGAUGGGCCCGCGUAAGAUUAGCUAGUUGGUGGGGUAAAGGCCUACCAAGGCGACGAUCUUUAGCUGGUCUGAGGGGAUGAUCAGCCACACUGGGACUGAGAUACGGCCCAGACUCCUACGGGAGGCAGCAGUGGGAAGUAUUGGACAAUGGGGGGCAACCCUGAUCCAGCAAUGCCGCGUGAGUGAUGAAGGCCUUAGGGUUGUAAAGCUCUUUUGCCAGGGAAGAUGAUGACUGUACCUGGAGAAUAAAGCCCCCGGCUAAACUUCGUGCCAGCAGCC
rnacentral:rRNA from 1 species